rnacentral:lncRNA from 1 species
GAAGCAUUAUGUCCAAGUGGAAGAGCUGCCAGAACUGAUCUUUUAUGAUCAGGUCCAUUGUAUAUCUUUUUCCCCUUGUGUUGCAUCUCCUAGAUCAGUAAAGCCACAAUAUAUCAGCUGGGCGGAUGACGGUGUUCUAGAUUUUGCAUUGCUUUGGAACACCUAUCCAUUCAAAGCAUUGAUGGACACUACUUUCAACUCAAGGAUCACUCGCAACCCUUUGAAAUAUAUUUGUUGUAGUCAUCGGUCAGUCAUAUAUCCUAAAUCAGCUAAUGUUUUUCUAUUCUUUCCUUCUAUUUUCUUUUUCUAAUAUAUUACUACAUCUUUUGUUUUUCUUUUAUUUUGAAACAGUAACAUGG